CUGUCCUGCUGUAUAUGAAGCUUGUUGGAGCGGCACAGAAGAAGAAUGAAAAAAAUGCUGGGGUCCCCACGUAACAUACCAGGAGGGGGUCCAGUGAGUCCAUAUUUUAGAGGCACCCAGCCUGCGUGUUCAUCCUAGCCUCUGCCACGUUGGCUGUGUGACCUGGGACAAGUUGCAAAAAGAAUACAAUGAAUUCCCUGUAUUCCCCUUGUAAUAUGUUUUUAAAAGAUGAAAUUAUUAAGAAAUGUGCCCUGAAUAUCAGAUGUCAGACCUUCUACCACCAAGACUCUAUACAUAUCCAGAAUGGAAUUGCUGGGUCAUAUGGUAGUUCUAUUCUUAGUUUUUUGAGAAACCUCCAUACUGUUUUCCACGGUGGCUGCACCAGUUUACAUUCCCACCAACAGUGUAUGAAGGUUCCCUUUUCUCUCACAAUCCUGUUUUCUUCGUGUGUUGCUCCACAUAUGUGAAUU